AAAAAUAAAAAAAUUUGUGCUUAACAAUGAGUAGUCGGUAAUAAUCUCAUGUUUAACGGUAAUUGGGGACUAAAGCCACCAAUGAAAGACCCACUCUCACGAGCAGAAUGAAUAGCUCACAUUUCCACUCGAAGCCACCACUGUCCCCUCUCACCGAAGCCACCACCGUCCCCUCUCUCACCGAAGCCACCACCGUCCCCUGAAACCUGUUCGUGUGAAGGCGAGAACGACAAGGAGAUCGCACGAAGUGUGAAGUGAAGCUGUGGGAUUAUAUGUUCAAGCUAUGUUGAUCAACGAUUUGGGGAUUAUCGGAUACUUUCAGGGAGGAAAUUUGUGGUUGGCUGCAAGUUUGUGAGGGCCCUGUCAUGCUACAUCAUAUAUUUUCUAGUCACUCUUCUAAGUUCUAACUACAUACUCUUGUUAUGUAGGUCCUUAAUGAUAAAGGCUAUGAUGAGGCCACUGCAUACUUGUGGUCUUGUAGGGUGAUUCUCUUUGUAUUGGUUGCAGGUGAUUCGCUAGAUAGAACACCAUCAGGAACAGUCCAUUAGAGCUUAAUCUUAAUACACCACAACCAAGUCUAUUGCUUCCUAUUCUUUCCCACAGCCAGAUAAAAGUAGUAAUUUGGAAUCUUCUGGACUUUUAGAAGAGAAGACAUAUCAUGGACAAUCCUAGAAGUAGAAUGUGGAUGGGCUAUGAUAGAGUUAGUAAAGAAUAUUUAGAUGGAGUGGAAUCAUUUUUAGACCAUGCAUUUCGGGAGAGCAAUGGAGAAACAAUUCCAUGCCCUUGUAAGAAAUGUGUGCUACACUAUGUAGUUAAUCGAGCAAUGGCUUAUGAACACCUAGUGGUUAAUGGUAUUAUACCAUCAUAUGACACUUGGUUUUGUCAUGGGGAGUCAAUUAAUGUGCUAAAUCGCAAAGAGGAAACUAAUUGUAGAGAAGAAGCUUUUAGAGGUGAUGAUAUGGUAGGGUUGAUACAUGAUGCUUUUGAAGGCUUUAAUCAAUCCAUGGGUAAUAACAUUAGUGAUGGAGGUGAUAUUGAGUCAAACUUGGAUGAAAAUCUUACUCAUACAUCAAGAAAUCAAUCUCAUCCAGAGGUGGAGAAGUUUGAACAGUUAAUGAAAGAUGCAAAUGAAGAACUGUACAGUGGUUGCAAGAAAUUCAGCAAACUUUCUUUUGUUUUACAUCUUUACCAUAUAAAAAGAUUGUUCAAAUGGACAAAUGAGUCUUUUGAUGCUUUGCUUGGGCUAUUGAAAGAUGCAUUGCCUGAGGGAGAAAAGUUACCUUCUUCUCAUUAUGAGACCAAAAAAAUAGUUGGGAGGUUGGGCUUAAAGUAUGAAAAAAUCCAUGCUUGUCCAAAUGAUUGCAUGCUUUUCAGGAAUGAAUUGGCGGAUAAGAAUGUUAAUAAAUGCAUAAAAUGUGGGGCUUCUAGAUGGAAAAAUGAUGAGAAAAAAGUUCCUGCCAAGGUCCUAAGAUAUUUCCCUCUAAAGUCAAGGUUGCAGAGAUUGUUUAUGUCUUCAGAAACUUCUAGACUGAUGAGAUGGCAUGAUAAGGGGCGCAAUAAAGAUGGGGAUUUACGGCAUCCUGCAGAUUCUGAAGCCUGGAAAAAAUUUGAUGACCAACAUCAGGAAUUUGCUAAGGAUUCUCGUAAUGUCCGCUUGGGAUUAGCUAGUGAUGGCUUUAAUCCAUAUAGUUCAAUGAAAGUUUUUCAUAGUACAUGGCCAGUUAUUUUAGUUCCGUAUAAUCUUCCACCAUGGUUGUGCAUGAAGCAAGACAAUUUCAUUCUGUCAUUACUCAUUCCGGGACCAGAGGGACCUGGAAAUAACAUUGAUGUAUUUUUGGAGCCUUUGAUAGAAGAGUUGAAAGAAUUGUGGGAUGUGGGGAUGGAAACUUAUGAUGCCUUCACUAAGGAAACCUUCCAAAUGCGAGCAGCUCUUUUAUGGACUAUAAAUGAUUUUCCAGCAUAUAGUAAUUUAUCUGGAUGGUCCACACAUGGUCGAUUUGCAUGUCCUUCUUGCAACAUAAACACUCAAUCUAGAUGGCUCAAACAUGGUCAAAAGUUUUGCUAUAUGGGACAUCGGCGUUUCCUAAAGCCAAGUCAUAAGUUUCGAACUGAUGCAAAGUCAUUUGAUGGGACAAAAGAAUCAAGAGUUGCACCUUCUCCAACAUCAGGGUCAUUGGUCUUACAUCAAGUUAGAAACAUAAAGUUCACACUUACUAAGCUGCGUCGUCCCAAAGUGACUGGGUGAUAAAAGGCACAUGGAAAAAGAGGAGUAUUUUUUUCAAUUUGCCUUAUUGGAAGUAUAACUUGGUGCGCCAUAACAUCGAUGUGAUGCACACAGAAAAAAAUGUGUGUGAUAAUGUUAUUUCUACAUUGUUGGGUCUUGGUAGAAAGUCAAAGGACAACUUGGAGGCACGAAAAGACUUGAAAGAUAUGAACAUAAGGUCAAGCUUAUGGCCUAAAAAACGUACUAAUGGGAAGACAUAUCUACCUCCUACUUUAUUUACAAUGUCCUCAAUGGAAAAAAAGUUGGUAUAUGAAGUAUUAGAAAAUGCCAAGUUUCCCCAUGGUUAUGCUUCUAAUAUUUCACGUUGCAUUCGUAAAGGCAAAAUGUCAGGGUUAAAAACUCAUGAUUUCCAUGUUAUAAUGCAAGAACUGCUGCCUAUUGCUUUGCGAGGAACAUUAGAUAAAAAGGCCAGUUCUGUUUUACUUGAACUAUGCAUGUUCUUUCGAAUGCUUUGUAGCAAAGUGCUUAAAAUGAAAGAGUUAGAGUUACUUGAAGAAAAAAUUGCAAUAACAUUAUGCAGUUUGGAGAAAGUCUUCCUCCCAUCAUUUUUUACAGUCAUGGUACAUUUGGUUUUCCACCUAGCAACUGAGGCUAAAACUGCAGGGCCGGUACAUUAUCGUUGGAUGUACCCUAUUGAGAGGUACUUAGGUACUUUAAAAUCAUGGAUUGGUAAUCGUGCAUGCCCAGAAGGUUCAAUUGCAGAAGGAUAUCUUGCAAAUGAGUGUGACAUUUUGCUCUCGUUAUAUGGAAGGUGGACAUUCAAGGUCUUAUUGGUCAAGAAAAAAUGAGAGUGAGAUUGAUUAUUCCUUUGAUAAAGAAGGAAGUCUUUUCCCUAAUGUAGGGAAUCCAUAUGGAAAAGUAGAAGCAUUUUUAAUGGAUGAUAAAACAUGGGUGCAAGCACAUCGAUAUGUGCUUUUCAACUGUGAAUCUAAUGUGGUUGAAAAUUAUAAAAGGGAACACAUUAAUGACAUCAAGAGAUCAUAUCGUAAGCGUCGCCUUACACAACAUCAACUUGAUCGCUUGCAUUUUGAUUCAUUUCAUGAAUGGUUCAAAGAUCAAGUUAAUGAUUUAGAGUCUACAUUUGAUAUCUCAAAAGACCUAAAAGCCCUUGCACAAGGACCAAGCUACAUAGCAAGAAGAUUCAAAGCAUUUGAUGUAAAUAAUGGGUAUCGAUUUAGAACAAAAAAAUAUGAAGAGUUCAGGAAGACGCAAAAUAGUGGCGUCAUGGUUGUUUCUAAGACAGAAAGUUAUGCAAGUACAAGUGAUAAUGCUCCAAAGUCAGCAAAUGUAGUCUAUUAUGGAAGAUUGAGUGAUAUAAUAGAGUUAGAUUACUUUGAAGAAUUUAAGGUUGUCUUAUUUAAAUGUGAUUGGGUUGAUGUAACCCGAGGUAGAGGUCUUAAAGUAGAUGAAUGGGGUUUUACACUUGUGAACUUCUCUCACCUAAUACAUUCUGGAGAUCGUGAAAGUCAUGAACCUUUUGUAUUUGCAAACCAAGCCCAACAAGUGAUAUUUGUGCAAGAUCCUCAUGAUCAUCAUUGGUUUGUACCUAGGCUAAUGAAACCUCGAGAUACUUUUGAUAUGGGAGAAGUACACAAGAUGCAAUUUUCGGCAUCAUUGCAAAAUGAUACUAUGAUGGUAGAAAAUAUUUGUCAAUCAGAAGAUGACCACAUUGAUUGGGUAAGAAAUGAUGUGGAUGGUGUAGAAAUUGAAAACUCUUCUUCUAGUGGAGAUGAAGCUGACAAUGAUGAAGGAAAUGAAAAUGAAUAUGGUAGUGAUUCCGAAUAACAGGACUUGUCUAAUCCUUUCCUUGCCAAGGCAAUCCAAGGUGCUGAUUUUUGUGAUGUGUGUUGAUUUGCUUUUAGGCUUGUUUGAUGUUGCUGGAGUGGAAUCUCACAAGAUGAGGACGGGUCAUGAUCCUGAUUUCUAUGAUGUGUGCUGCUUUGUUUUGCUUAAUUUUUGCCUCUGAACUUAUUGUUUCCCUUUGUAUCCUCCUUGUUUUUCUUGUAUGUUUCCUUUUUUUACCUAUCUCUGAGUAGGUUGUUCUCAGACUAGUCUUUUUAAAUACAUUCUUCUCUUUUCGGGGAAAAAAAACUCAUGAGCUGUAUCACUUAGAUGUACUUGAUAUUUUAGUAGGGAUUUAAGACCUACAAUGGUUUAUUUGUAAAAAAAUUCAAUUAAAAUUUUAUUUCCAUAAUAAUAGAAAAUGCCAAUGAAAUGAGAUCUUGAUA